ACAGAGGGUGCAAACGUUGUUCGGAAUCACUGGGCGUAAAGCGUGUGUAGGCUGUUUCGUAGGUCGGAUGUGAAAGCCCAGGGCUCAACCUUGGAAGUGCAUUCGAAACCGCGAGACUAGAGUAUCGGAGAGGUUGGUGGAAUUCUCGGUGUAGAGGUGAAAUUCGUAGAUAUCGAGAGGAACACCGGUGGCGAAGGCGGCCAACUGGACGAAUACUGACGCUGAGACACGAAAGCGUGGGGAGCAAACAGG
rnacentral:rRNA from 1 species